UGAGAGACCUUAUGAAAUCUAGUGUUUGUGGGGAUAUUGUGAAUUAAAGUUAGCAUAAGCAAAAUAAUUUAGAAAAUCAACCGAAUUGGUCGAUUAAUCAUGAUGAUGACAAGGCCGAAGGCACCAGUGUAAGCAUGCAUUUUAACAUACGAAGUGGAAUUUCGACCACAAGUUGAGUCUUGUAAUCGUACGAAAUUUAGAAGAAUUAAUCAUAGGGAUACGAUUUUCCUGUCUUAUCAUCAUGCAGUAGAAGGUACCGUAUAUACGUUCGGGCAUUAUAUAUGAGAAACAGUUUAACCGCAAUUGCGAAAUAUCUACCAAUUAAUAAUGUUGGCAACGACAGCUUACAAUUUGGGAAAUCUCGUUUUCACAUGAACGAUUAGGUAACAACUCAGUGGAAGAAUGGACUCAAGGAUGGUACAGAGUCCGAGCUGUGGAUUAUUGGAAUGUACCAGGAAGAUAUUCUAAAGUAAUUCGAUAUUCAGUAAAGUAACAUGCGUCGUGUAUUACUUUCCAUAUAGGUUUAGUUUUCAUUAACUAUGAGAAUGAAGAAAUGUAACUUAGUGGCCAGUCCAAUAAAUUAACAGGUAUUUGCACCUGCUUAAAUAAGA